CGAACUUUGCAGGGGAAAAGAAAAGGUAAACGGCUUUCACUCCACAAAUCACCCUAUUCCUGAGCCCUGUGGGGACCGGAGUGGCCUCACAGCCUCACUCCACCGCAGAGCCACUCUUUGGGCUCUAAAUGCAGCUGGAUCGGCAGAGCUAGAAACUCGGCUGAUUAACAGUGUCUGGGAGCUGCUAAGAGUGUAAGUGCCCAUCACGGCAAGACUGGCUCUAUGAGUGUAUGUGGCUUCAAGGAUAGCAAAACGUUGCUCCUUACAUGUCAGCUCUUCUAUUUUUUUUUCUCCCUACGUGUUUCUCCCUACGUGUCAGCUCUUCUAUUACCUCUCCAGAUGCCUCAAAUCACAUCUUCCUGUGGAUCGUGAAUACCAUAUGCUUUCAGAAAUGGUCGUGAACAUGCAACUGCCUCUCUGCAGGAUGGUAGGCUGGGAGCAGGGCCAGCUCACCUUGUUCAGUCAUCUGCCGCUGCUCACAGAUCCGCAGCACCUUCAGGGCUUUCUGCUCGGUGUUCAGAGGUAUCCGCUCAAUGUGCAGCUCCAGGGAGACUCGGCCCAGCUCGGGGCAGUAAUCAAAGUAAUCGACCCCCAGCUGCCACAGGCUGCAAAGGUUUGAGGAGGACAGACAUGAGGUGCUGCCUCAUGGCUCCGAGGACUGGCACCUGCAGCUCCCUUUCACUGACCCUUCCGAAGCCUUCAGGGAGCCAACUGGGAGAGAACAGUCCAAGCUCCAAUGGCAUCCGCAUGCUGAAGAGCACCCGCAUAGCCCACACCCAUGGGGUCCUUCCUACCUGGGAUGAGCAAACAGUCCCGAGGCGUACUCCAGCAGGAGGAACUCUCUCAUGUUGGAACCGAAACUGGAAUAAAACAACAAAAGACCAAGACUCCUGGCCUGCCCUGUUCAGGGCCCCCUUAGCCCAACCUCCCUUUCAGGCAUUCAGUUCACCCCACCCUCGAGGGCCUAGUGGUAAAAAAAGGAGGAUCGGCGCCUCCAGGCCACUUACUAGAGGUUGUGUGACUGGAGGAGCUUGCAGUGGUCCAGCAGGUCUGUCAGGUGGGCCACAAACCACCAGUUGCUCAGGGCAAUGCUGCAAAUUCAGACACCAAGGCAAGAAGGAAAAUCAGGGCACAGGCCGCAUCCCACAAGAGUGGGGGUGAGCAAGAACCCCACAUGUCCUGUCCCUCAAAGAGAUGGGGCUGGGCGUGAUGACAGCUCAUGCCCGUGAUCCCAGUACUUUGGGAGGCCAAGGCAGGCAGAUCACCUGAGUCCAGGAAUUUAAGACCAGCCUGGGCAACAUGGCAAAACCCCAUCUCUACAAAUACAAAAAUUAGCCAGGCAUGGUGGCACACACCUGUAAUCCCAGCUACUCGAGAAGCUGGGGUGGGAGUAUUGCUUGAGCCUGGGAAGCAGAGGCUGCAAUCGGCCGAGAUCACGCCACUGCACUCCAACUUGGGUGAGAGAGCACAACCAUAGCCCAAAAAAAAAAAAAAAAUCGCUCAGAAAGUAGUUGAGAUGGAGUCUUGCUCUGUCACCCAGACGGGAGUGCACUGGUGAGAUCUCGACUCACUGCAACCUCUGCCUCCCAGGUUCAAGCAAUUCUCAUGCCUCAGCCUCUUCAGUAGCUGAGAUUACAGGCAUGCGCUACCACACCCAGCUAGAAAGUAGCUUUUGAAUGUUCUCACCACACGCACCCAAAAGGGUCACUAUGUGAGGUGACAGAUGUCACUAGCUUAAUUUCACAAUGUAUACGUCUAUCAAAACAUGUUGUUGGCCGGGCGCGGUAGCUCACACCUGUAAUCCCAGCACUUUGGGAGGCCGAGGUGGGAGGAUCAUGAGGUCAGGAAAUCGAGACCAUCUUCACUAACACGAUGAAACCCCAUCUCUACUAAAAGUACAAAAAAUUAGCCGGAUGUUGUGGCGGACACCUGUAGUCCCAGCUACUCUGGAGGCUGAGGCAGGAGAAUGGCAUGAACCUAGGAGGCAGGGCUUGCAGUGAGACGAGAUCACGCCAUUGCACUCCGGCCUGGGUGACAAAGUGAGACUCCAUCUCAAAAAAAAAAAAAAAACAAAAACAAAAAAACAUGUUGUACACCUUGGCCGGGUGCAGUGGCUCACUCCUGUAAUCCCAACACUGAAAGGCCGAGGCAGGUGUAUCACUUGAGCUCAGGAGUUCGAGACCAGCCUGGCCAAGAUGGCAAAACCCCAUCUCCACCAAAAAUACAAAAGUUAGCUGGGCGUGGUGGCGUGUGCCUGUGGUCCCAGCUACUCGGAAGGCUGAGGCAGAAGAUCGCUUGAGCCCAGGAGGCAGAGGUUGCAGUGAGCUGAGAUCGUGCCACUGCACUCCAGCCUGAGUGACAGGGCAAGACUGUCUCCAAAAAAAAAAAAAAAAAAAAAAAAUUU